CCCUUAGAUGUCCGGGGCCGCACGCGCGCUACACUGAAGGAAUCAGCGUGGCUUUCUCCCUGACCCGAAAGGGUUGGGAAACCCGUUGAAUCUCCUUCGUGAUAGGGAUUGGGGCUUGAAAUUGUUCCCCAUGAACGAGGAAUUCCCAGUAAGCGCGAGUCAUAAGCUCGCGUUGAUUACGACCCUGCCCUUUGUACACACCGCCCGUCGCUACUACCGAUUGAACGGUUUAGUGAGGGCCUCGGAUUGGUCUCGGCCCGCUCUUUACCGGGCGGCGCCGUUGGUCGAGAAGACGCUCGAACUUGAUCGUUUAGAGGAAGUAAAAGUCGUAACA
rnacentral:rRNA from 1 species